GUCCUAGUUACCAGCACGUUAUGGUGGGCGACUCUAAGGAGACUGCCGGUGGACAAACCGGAGGAAGGUGGGGAUGACGUCAAGUCAUCAUGGCCCUUACGGCCUGGGCUACACACGUGCUACAAUGGUCGGUACAAAGGGUUGCCAAGCCGCGAGGUGGAGCUAAUCCCAUAAAACCGAUCGUAGUCCGGAUCGCAGUCUGCAACUCGACUGCGUGAAGUCGGAAUCGCUAGUAAUCGUGAAUCAGAAUGUCACGGUGAAUACGUUCCCGGGCCUU
rnacentral:rRNA from 1 species